UACGUAGGGGGCAAGCGUUGUCCGGAUUUAUUGGGCGUAAAGAGCUCGUAGGCGGUUGGGCAAGUCACGUGUGAAAUCUCCACGCUCAACGUGGAGGCGCCACGUGAGACUGCCCUGACUCGAGUCCGGUAGGGGAGCGUGGAAUUCCCGGUGUGAGCGGUGAAAUGCGCAGAGUAUCGGGAAGAACACCCGUGGCGAAGGCGGCUCUCUGGGCCACUACUGACGCUGAGAAGCGAAAGCAUGGGGAGCGAACAGGA
rnacentral:rRNA from 1 species